UCAAUUACCAUCAAGCACUUACCAAAGUCCAAAGCCCAAAACAUGCUUUUUUCACAGUCAAAAUGACCUCUUAUGGCCUUGUCAAUGGCUCUGCGUGAUUCCUUGUGCGAUUCCACCUCGUUUACAAAGAAGUUUGCCCCAAUCUAAUGCCUAAACGCAAGUUACAGCCAUAAAUAACACAAUUUGUCCACCCCAUUUGGAUAAUGCGGAACAUUUUAUACUUUUUCGGACGUUUUCCCCCUUUCUCUCAUUUCAACUCCAAAAUGGUUCAUCCACGGUCCUCCCCCACCCCCUAAGAUUACAGCGUGCCUUCGCCACUUUCAGACUUUGUCUCUUCCUACCAUGGAAAGAGGGUAAUGCUUUUUCUAGGCAAAUAAUGUUGAUGUGAAAAUGAUUUUACACAUAUUUCGAGCUGGUUGGAGUGAGAACAACAAUCAAGGAAUACAUUGAUGAUGAUUUG